rnacentral:rRNA from 1 species
GAUUAACGCUGGCGGCGUGCAUAACACAUGCAAGUCGAACGAUGAAACUUAGUCGACUUCUUCGGAAAGACACUAAGCGGAUUAGUGGCGAACGGGUGAGUAACGCGUGAGUAACCUGCCUUACACAAGGGGAUAGCCUUUGGAAACGAAGAAUAAUACCCUAUAAAACUAUACAAGCACAUGCUAGAAUGGUCAAAGUGCUAGCGGUGUAAGAUGGACUUGCGUCUGAUUAGCUAGUUGGUGAGAUAAAAGCUCACCAAGGCAACGAUCAGUAGCCGGCUUGAGAGAGUGUACGGCCACAUUGGGACUGAGACACGGCCCAGACUCCUACGGGAGGCAGCAGUGGGGAAUUUUGCACAAUGGGGGAAACCCUGAUGCAGCGACGCCGCGUGAUUUAGAAGGCCUUCGGGUUGUAAAAAUCUUUUGUAUAGGAAGAAAAUGACAGUACUAUACGAAUAAGGUCCGGCUAAUUACGUG